UACGAGGGGGGCGAGCGUUUGUUCGGAAUUAUUGGGCGUAAAGGGUGCGUAGGCGGUUUGGUAAGUCUGAUGUGAAAUCUAUGGGCUCAACUCAUAGUCUGCAUCGGAAACUGCCGGGCUUGAGUGUGGGAGAGGUGAGUGGAAUUCCUGGUGUAGCGGUGAAAUGCGUAGAUAUCAGGAGGAACACCUGUGGCGAAGGCAAUCCCCUGGGCCUGCACUGACGCUCAUGCACAAAGCGUGGGGAGCAAACAGG
rnacentral:rRNA from 1 species